rnacentral:miRNA from 1 species
UUUAGUCUGAUUUAGUAAAAU